UACGUAGGUGGCAAGCGUUGUCCGGAAUUAUUGGGCGUAAAGCGCGCGCAGGUGGUUUCUUAAGUCUGAUGUGAAAGCCCACGGCUCAACCGUGGAGGGUCAUUGGAAACUGGGGAACUUGAGUGCAGGAGAGAAGAGUGGAAUUCCACGUGUAGCGGUGAAAUGCGUAGAGAUCCGGAGGAACACCAGUGGCGAAGGCGACACGCUGGGCCGUACCUGACGCUAAAGCGCGACAGCAUGGGGAGCAAACGGG
rnacentral:rRNA from 1 species